rnacentral:rRNA from 1 species
AGCGAACGCUGGCGGCAGGCCUAACACAUGCAAGUCGAGCGCGUGUCGCAAGACACGAGCGGCAGACGGGAGAGUAACACGUGGGAACGUACCCUUUGGUUCGGAACAACCCAGGGAAACUUGGGCUAAUACCGGAUAAGCCCUUACGGGGAAAGAUUUAUCGCCGAAGGAUCGGCCCGCGUCUGAUUAGCUGGUUGGUGGGGAACGGCCCGACCAAGGCGACGAUCAGUAGCUGGUCUGAGAGGAUGAUCAGCCUCACUGGGACUGAGACACGGCCCAGACUCCUACGGGAGGCAGCAGUGGGGAAUAUUGGACAAUGGGCGGCAAGCCUGAUCCAGCCAUGCCGCGUGGGUGA